rnacentral:rRNA from 1 species
UGCUUUCCAUGCAGUCGAACGGCAGCGGGGGCUUCGGCCUGCCGGCGAGUGGCGAACGGGUGAGUAAUGCAUCGGAACGUGCCCAUGUCGUGGGGGAUAACGUAACGAAAGCUACGCUAAUACCGCAUACGUCCUGAGGGAGAAAGCGGGGGAUCUUUGGACCUCGCGCGAUUGGAGCGGCCGAUGUCGGAUUACCUAGUAGGGGAGGUAAAGGCUCACCUAGGCGACGAUCCGUAGCGGGUCUGAGAGGAUGAUCCGCCCCACUGGGACUGAGACACGGCCCAAACUCCUACGGGAGGCAGCAGUGGGGAAUUUUGGACAAUGGGGGCAACCCUGAUCCACCCAUGCCGCGUGAGUGAAAAAGGCCUUCGGGUUGUAAAGCUCUUUCGGCCGGGAAGAAAUCGUGGUCUCUAACAUAGGCCAUGGAUGACGGUACCGGACUAAAAAGCACCGGCUAACUACUUGCCAGCAGCCCCCGGUCA